ACUUCUACUUCAAGCACCUUUCCAUUUUCAAAUGAUUGCCAACACUUCUUAUUCCUUAGGAACCUUAAAAAUAUUUUGCAUGUAUAUGUAUUAAUUUCCAACUGAAUAAAGUUAAGAAAUUGUCUAAUAAAUGGUAAUUAAAAAAGGAUUUUGAUAAUCCGUAAAAUUUAGUUGAAUUGACAAAAACCGAUAUUGUUAAACUUAAUAUUAUGUCUCAAGUUCGAAAAUGAGACUUCGCAGUUAUAUACGAAUUAUGUGGAUUAUGGUGUAGUUGUAGUAGUAGAAAUAUUAAUUACUAUGGAUGUCAUCAUUAAUUAGUAAUAGUCUUGGUCCUUAGUUAUUUCAUUAAAAAAAUCAUGGUAUGACAAUAAAUCAGUUUAAGAAAAUAGCUAUCUAACCAAAUCAGGCCCAUCAUGAUUCUUUACUAAGUUUACAAACAUUAAACAAAAAGGAAAAGUGUACAGAAUAAUCUAAACGUUAGUACUCACUACGUAUAACACUACUCAAUAAUUAAAACUUCAAUACUUAUUUUGCCUUUUGAGUAAAGGAGGCACC
rnacentral:lncRNA from 1 species